UAGGAUUGUUUCCAUUUCAAAAUACACUCAGAACCAGAUUUUUGAGACAGCAAUAAAGAAGGCCAUGGCCAUGGAAGGACAUGAUUCAAGAAGAGUGGCGCUACUGUUUACGGCGAUGAUCAUGAUUUUAGCUGCUACUAGUGUGCAGGGUCAAUCCCUUAGUUGCAUUGUUAAAUGUACAUUACAAUGUGCUGGUAAAAAAACGAGUGUAACUUGUACCGGUUUAUGUUUAAAGAAUUGCAAGGACCAACUUCAAGAGACUCUAUGAUUGCACUUUUGGUUGUGCAAUGUCCUCGUGCACCAAAUUUGUCUCUGGAAAAGUAGAAGGUUGUGUGGAUUCAUGCUUCAAAAACUGCAGCAAAUUUCAUGCGCUUGCCUAGUAUGUAAAAAUUGUUAACUGCACAUCAAUAAAUGUAACAAAAAAUAAAUAAGACAAUAAAUUAUAUA